rnacentral:lncRNA from 1 species
AAUAUCUUCUGGCUAUGAACUUGAGCUUCUGUCUUAACUACAGGAACAUCAAAAUCAGAAUCCAACUCCACAAACCCAAACAAAUUUCUUCAAGUCCUUAAUAGAAUUACCCUCUGUGAUUCUUUUCCUCUUUCCAUCCUUCUUCCUUGUAUCAACCAUUCUAUACAAAACAUAAAAACAACACAAAUCCAAACAAUCAAUACCCCAUUCUGUUAGAAACAUAGCGUAUAUAUAUAUGAUCAUAUUGACAAUUAAGUAGUAGAAUGAGAAUUAACAGAAAUUAGAAGCAUACCUUAGAGAGAAACCAGAAUCCUUUCAGUUGUGAGAGAGUUGGAGAGAGAAAAUCACGUAUUAGCCUGAAAGUCACGUAUUCAAUUUUCUGUCAGAGUUGAGAGACUAUGGUGUUGCGGCGGCGGCGGAAGAGGACGACGACAAGUGGCUUCGAGAGGAGAGAGAGAAGUAGUAAGGGAGAAGAGAGAGAAAUAGUAAGGGCGUAGAUAGAGAGAGAGACCGAAGGAAGAUGGAAACUAAUUUGUUAUGUCAGCUCAUUAAUAUUAAUCCCUUAAUUGAAGGACUCUUAAUUGUAUUAGUAUUGUAAAUAUAUAUGAUGAAGUGUCAUAUUUUUGUAAUUAUUUUAUGAAUGUAUGAUUUUUAUAAUUACUUUUAAAAAUGUACUAUAAUAUGUAAUUGUUCCUAGAUUUAAUGUACAAAUAAAUUAAACGGGCCCACUGGCUUGGAAGGCUGAGGUUAUCGACGUAAGAUAUAUAUGGAUAAUGACCCCACCCAACCAGCGUUAAUGCUAGGUAUAAUGUAGUAUCUUUUUAGGAGUAGUUAACAUGAAGUUUAUUUUUAGAUAAGUUGACCAAUUGACAUUUUAUGUGUCAGUAUUUUAUUGAACAAUUAACCAACUUACUAAAAAAUAAACUUUAUACUAAUCGGAUCUAUAUCUUCCAUUCUAUUAAAAAGAUGCAAUUUUUUAAGUUAUAAUAGUGGGGUACUAUUUAUCUAAGGUCCACCAUAAAUUUUUUUGUUGUUAAUUUUCACACACCCACAUUUAAAAAUUGAAAAAAAUCAAAUAUUAAUUUUAUAAAAAUUAUAAGACAAGAAUUAUCAUUCAGCCCAGAACCAUGCGUCAAACGUCCGCCAUAUCAAGUAAUUCUAAGUUAUAAAGUAUAAUAUGGGUGGUGGUACCUGCACUUGAAACCUCAUGUUGGUGAGUAGGCAUGCAGAAGUGUGUAUUAAUAGUAUUUUCGAAGGUUUUGACUUACUACCCAGUCCAGUCAGUGCGUGGACCUGGCUGGGCUUGGAGCCUUGCACCUCCAUCCAUAAUCCAUUUCGUCAUCUCCCUCUCUCCCUCCCUCUACCCUCUACCCUCUACCCUCUACGAAAGGAUUAUUAGCAAUUAGAGUAAUAAUAACAUAGAGAUGAGAUGACAUAGAUAGAGAGAGAGAGAGAGGAUGUUGAUUUUGUGUUUGGGCUUAUGUGGAGAGAGAGAGAGAGAGAGAGAAGGGGAGGGAGAGGGACCUACUAUGUUUACCAUAGAAAAUGAGUAACCUGGUUCAUUAACCCAUCAUACUCAACAGUAACCUGGUUCAGCCAUAGUUGAUUUGAGAACUUUAUAUCUUUUCAAUGUAUCUGUUCUUCAAGUGACUGUUAAUUAAUCUUUU